AUGUACAUUAACAUUAUCGAUUAGAGUCACAGGCUACAUGUAUUACAGCUUUCGUUUUCGUGUAAACUCAAAAUAGGGUGUAAUCGUUUCAAUAAAGGUUAAGAUUACAGACGAAUGCAGUGUUCGUACUCACAGUUGCUCCUAAACGGAAAGUAGAACAACAAGCUUUCUGCAAGGGAAGAAAUUGAAAACACUACAACGUUUAAGAUUGGAAACAUAUUCAGCUUAAAACAUGUCUGACAGUCUCUACAACAAAGCACACAAGCUUGAAAAAAACUUAAAGGAAUGGAUAAAAUGUAAAGAUGAAGCUGUGAAGGAAUUAAAAGAUCUGGCAGUAAAUCUAGACGAGCAUUUUCAAAAAAUAUGCAAAGCAAAAAUUGCUGGAUCAACUACUUCUAUUGGUGGCGGAAUAUUGGCUGUGGUAGGAUUCGGAUUGUCAUUUGUGACAUUUGGGGCGUCAUUAGGUCUUACUAUAGCAGGUAGUGUAAUAGCAGGAGCAGGAGGAAUCACAGUGGGAGGAUCCAUGAUUACAGACGCCAUGCUUUCAAAACAAAGAAGAGAGUCAGCACAAGCUAUAUUAGAUAAGUACAACGAGCUUGUUGAAACUAUAAAAGAAGAAUGCAUUGAGAUAGGUGAAAUGCUGAAACAAAAAGAUGAGAAAAUGGAACAGUUUCCACAUUGGGUGGAUUUUUGGAGCAAGCUUGCUUUUGGAGCAGGUACGACAACCAAGUGUAUUACAUGGGAUAUAUUAGCAAGGACAAUAUUGGCUUCAUUACGUAUAACCGCGUCGUACGCCGAUGAUGCUUUAGCCGUUGGUGCAAGAGCAGGCGCUUCGGCUUUUCGAACAAUUGGAUCUACUGCUGGACAAGGUCUUCAUAUUGCUGGCGGUGUCGUAGGUAUACUUGUAAUGCCUCUAGACAUUUACACUCUUGUGGAUUCAGCUAUUGAUAUACACAAGAACAAUCCACAUAAGGUGUCUAGUAAAAUUAGAGAAUGGGCUGACCAUAUCGACAAAUCAUGUCCAACUAAAUGGGACAUAGAAAUUAUGAUGGACAAAACAUUCGAGCAGCAGUUAUGUUUUCAAAUAAUGUAAAACACAAGUAACAGAUAGCUUUAAGGAAUACCAGUAUCUUGAAUUUAUGGAUGAAUGACCCAGUUAUACACUAAUAUAUUUUUGAAUCGGUUAACAUAUAUUGAAAAUAAAAGUUCACACUUAA